rnacentral:rRNA from 1 species
GAUGAACGCUGGCGGCGUGCCUAAUACAUGCAAGUCGAGCGAACAGAUGAGGAGCUUGCUCCUCUGACGUUAGCGGCGGACGGGUGAGUAACACGUGGAUAACCUGCCUAUAAGACUGGGAUAACUUCGGGAAACCGGAGCUAAUACCGGAUAAUAUAUUGAACCGCAUGGUUCAAUAGUGAAAGACGGUUUUGCUGUCACUUAUAGAUGGAUCCGCGCCGCAUUAGCUAGUUGGUAAGGUAACGGCUUACCAAGGCAACGAUGCGUAGCCGACCUGAGAGGGUGAUCGGCCACACCGGAACUGAGACACGGUCCAGACUCCUACGGGAGGCAGCAGUAGGGAAUCUUCCGCAAUGGGCGAAAGCCUGACGGAGCAACGCCGCGUGAGUGAUGAAGGUCUUCGGAUCGUAAAACUCUGUUAUUAGGGAAGAACAAAUGUGUAAGUAACUAUGCACGUCUUGACGGUACCUAAUCAGAAAGCCACGGCUAACUACGUG